rnacentral:tRNA from 1 species
AGAGAGGUGGCCGAGCGGUCGAAGGCGCACGCCUGGAAAGCGUGUAUGCUCCAAAAGGGUAUCGAGGGUUCGAAUCCCUUCCUCUCUGCAA